rnacentral:rRNA from 1 species
GAUGAACGCUGGCGGCGUGCCUAAUACAUGCAAGUCGAGCGAACGGACGAGAAGCUUGCCUCUCUGAUGUUAGCGGCGGACGGGUGAGUAACAAGCUGAUAACCUCUCUAUGAGACUGGGAUAACUUUGGGAAACCUGAGCUAAUACCGCAUAAUAUUUUGAACCGCAUGGUUCAAAAGUGAAAGACGGUCUUGCUGUCACUUAUAUAUGGACCCGCGCUGCAUUAGCUAGUUGGUAAGGUAACGGCUUAGCAAGGCAACGAUGCAUAGCCGACCUGAGAGAGGGAUCGCCCACACUGGAACUUAGACGCCGUCCAGGCGCCUGAGGGAGGCAGCAGAAGGGAAUCGGCGGCAAUAGGCGAAAGCAUGACGGAGCAACGCCGAGUGUGAGAUGGAGGCCUUCGGAGCGUAAAAAUGCGUUAUGAGGGAAGAACAUAUGUGUAAGGAACUGUGCAGAUCGUGACGGUACCUGAACAAAAAGCCACGGCUAACUACGUG